UAUUGAUUGCAGACUAUAUUCUCAUCAAUUCAAAAUUUAAAUUAUUUCAAACUCUAACACCUUGAUGAUCCACACAACCUUAACAUUUAAGAGGGAAUAGGAGUUUUUUGGUCCGCAUGUAUUUUGAUUAUGUAUUAUCCUAAUCUAAAUUACUAUUGUAAAUUCCUUUUUCUUUAUCUCCAAGAUCUACUCUGGUUUCUAUAUCUAUUAUUUGUGUUUUCAGAUUAUGCAAUUAUCUAGACAAAUGCCUCAAUUUCACAUAUUAUCAUUUCUAUCUCUAUACAUUUAUAAAUUCUUCAUCAAGUUUUUACUCUAGACCCUCCAAAGAAGCUCUGAAAAACUCCCUUUCUCUAGAAAUAUGCAAUCCAAAAAUAAAAAAAAAA
rnacentral:lncRNA from 1 species